GCCUACAAGCGGUCGGAGCAGCGUAAGCUGUGACGGCGUGCCUUUUGCAUAAUGAACCUACGAGUUACUUUUUCCGGCAAGGUUAAGCAUCUUGAGAUGUGGAUCCGAAGCGAAAGCGAGUCUGAACAGGGCGGAUAGUCGGAAGGAGUAGACGCGAAACCAAGUGAUCUACCCUUGGGCAGGUUGAAGGUUAGGUAACACUAACUGGAGGACCGAACCGAUAAGCGUUGAAAAGCUUCCGGAUGACCUGAGGGUGGGGGUGAAAGGCUAAUCAAACUUGGAGAUAGCUCGUACUCCCCGAAAUGCAUUUAGGUGCAGCCUUGAGAAUUACUAAUGUGAGGUAGAGCGACUGAUAAGAUGCGAGGGCUUCACCGCCUAUCAAGUCUUGAUAAACUCCGAAUGCGCAUUAGUUCGAUCUCAGGAGUGAGGGCAUGGGUGCUAAGGUCCAUGUCCUAAAGGAGAAGAAUCCAGACCAUCAGCUAAGGUCCCCAAAUAAACACUAAGUUGAACUAACGAAGUCAGAUUGCUAAGACAGCUAGGAUGUUGGCUUGGAAGCAGCCAUUCAUUUAAAGAGUGCGUAACAGCUCACUAGUCGAGGAGUUUGGCGUGGAUAAUAAUCGGGCAUCAAGUGUUUUACCGAAGCUAUGGGAUACGUAAGUAUCGGUAGGGGAGCAUUCCACUCAGCGUUGAAGGCGAAGCGUGAGCUUUACUGGAGCGUGUGGAAAAGCAAAUGUAGGUAUAAGUAACGAUAAAGGGGGUGAGAAACCCCCUCGCCGCAAGACUAAGGUUUCCUGAUCAACGCUAAUCGGAUCAGGGUUAGUCGGGUCCUAAGGCUCAGCCGAACGGUGAUGCCGAUGGCAGAACAGGUUAAUAUUCCUGUACUAGCAUUAAGAGUGACGUGGAGACGGAGGAGUGACAACGCCGCGGACUGACGGAAUAGUCCGUUAAAGGGUGUAGAUGUUGAUUAUCCCAGGCAAAUCCGGGAUAAGAGUCGAACCUGACAGUAUACCAAUUUCCUCGGAAAACGGUAAUAGUGCGUGUAAACAUACUCCCAAGAAAAUCCGCUAAACUUAAUCUUAAUGGUACCCGUACCGCAAACGGACACACGUAGUCGGGUUGAAUAUACUCAGGCGCUUGAGUGAAUCACGGUUAAGGAACUAGGCAAAUUGACCCUGUAACUUCGGGAUAAAGGGUCCCUACCCGGUGACGGGAGGGCGCAGAGAAUAGGUCCAGGCAACUGUUUAACAAAAACACAGGGCUGUGCAAAAUUGAAAGAUCACGUAUACAGCCUGACACCUGCCCGGUGCUGGAAGGUUAAGAGGAGAUGUCAUCGCAAGAGAAGCAUUGAAUUGAAGCCCCAGUAAACGGCGGCCGUAACUAUAACGGUCCUAAGGUAGCGAAAUUCCUUGUCGGGUAAGUUCCGACCUGCACGAAUGGUGUAAUGAUCUGGACACUGUCUCAACCGUGAGCUCAGUGAAAUUGUAGUAUCGGUGAAGAUGCCGAUUACCCGCGAUGGGACGAAAAGACCCCGUGAACCUUUACUAUAGCUUAACAUUGAAUUUGGGUAAUUGAUGUGUAGGAUAGGCCGGAGACUUUGAAGCAGGUACGCCAGUAUUUGUGGAGUCGCUGUUGAAAUACGGCCCUUUGAUUAUUUGAGUUCUAACUCGC
rnacentral:rRNA from 1 species